CCGUCUCACAUUUGGAUGAAGUAGGAAAAGGCAGCUUUUAGGGUACACCCUGACAUGUUCUGUCAGGGCCCUUAAAGGGCCCACGGGCCGGAGGAGAGGGGAAAAGGAUGAGGGCUCAGCCUGGCAAAGGACAGAAAGUGGUGGGUGUAGGAGGUGGACCUUGGUCUGGUGGCCUAGCCUGCCCUGUGCUCCCUGCAAUGCCGGGUGACUUGGGUCACUGGGCGGCCAGGCCAGAGGUGGGCCUCUAGGUGCCCCCCAUUCUGGAUGCUGAGGGUCCCUGUGAGGGUCUGGCGGCAGAGGCCUGCGCUUAUGGGUCAGCAGCUAGGACUGAUGGGUUGAAUAAGAAGGGCCCAAGUUAGGCCAGUUGUUCUCACAGACCCAGAGGUCCCUAGAGUUUAUGAUGCCCAGAGUCUAGGAGAGGGAAAUGCACACACAUGCCCUCGAGGACACCAGCAUCCUGACAUCCAAGUUACUGUACUGCCCUGGUUAGCAAGAAAGAACAUCUGUUCCCUUCUCUAUGCAAUUGUUACAGUAACUGUUGUUACAUUUCUUAAGAUACAUAGCUAUAUAUGUAGUCACUCUGCAAACACACACACUCUGAUAGACACACGAUUGCACUCAUGGACACAAAAACGGAAAAUAAACAUGCGGACAGCUACUCCCAGUCCCCAGACCUGACCCUCAUGUGACACCUUCACCAGACAUGGUACUUUCUGGGACCUGUAAUGUGUGUUGUGAUGCCCAGCACAUUUGUUGGAUGGUACAAAGGGAAUUAUGAUACUUAAUCAAAAAGCCAUACAAGCCAGAUAACAUUAAGGCUUAACGGUAACAAUAGGUGAUUCAGUUAGGAAAUUAAUGUUAGAGAUCGGUUUUCCUUGUGGAAAUCAGUGGUAUUCAAAUGCCUGAAUUGGCUACCCGGUUUUAGAGCUGCUCUCCAUGUAUGAGCAGGACAUAGGAUUCACUCUCUGGAAUGCUUCUGUAGGCAGGACUUUGAAAUGACCCUGUCCUCAGCCUGGAGGAUGCGGUAUUCUGAUUGUCUGGUGCUGUGUCAACUGGGCCUGCCUCUGGGAUAGUGUUGUGGCUGCCCCACGAGAACCCUAUAUGCCAGGUGAGCUUGAAGCACCUCAGAGACAGAGCACUGAAGCUCCAUGACACAGGGCUAUUCAGCUAUCAUUGCCCCUGUUUGCCAGCACCUCUGUCUAAAUAACUUGUGUGGGACAGAAUUAGGUCCGAGUCUGGUAUUCUGUUCAUCUAGCCUGGUAGCCAGGUAGUGAGAGAAGAAACCUGUGGCCCUUGUCUAAAUAUGAGGUGGUCAGUAUUUAACAACAAAUCAACAAUAGGGUAUGACCAGACUGACUUGGGUCUGUUUGCAACACCUGAACCUUAUGCACAUGCUCAUAAAUGCCCUCUCCAAAAUACACACACACACCCCCAAGAAAGGUGAGAUACAAAUACACACUCCUCCCACACAGAAACAUGCAUGCUCAUUCACUCUGGCAGAAACCCUGAUCACACUUACGCUCCUGCACUCAGAUCUAGGGAGUAGAAAAUGGGCCAAGCCAAC
rnacentral:lncRNA from 1 species